GCUGGGCAUGGUGGUGCGUGCCUGUAAUCCCAGCUACUCAGGGGGCUGAGGUUGGAGAAUCACUUGAACCCAGGAGGUGGAGGUUGCAGUGAGCCGAGAUUAUGCCACUGCACUCCAGCCUGGGUGAUAGAGUGAGACUCCGUCUCAA
ensembl:misc_RNA Metazoa_SRP Metazoan signal recognition particle RNA